rnacentral:rRNA from 1 species
UACGUAGGGUGCAAGCGUUAAUCGGAAUUACUGGGCGUAAAGGGCGCGUAGGCGGGAUGGCAAGUCGGUCGUGAAAUCCCUCGGCUCAACCGAGGAACGUCGAUCGAUACUGCUGUUCUUGAGGAUUGCAGAGGAGACUGGAAUUCCCGGUGUAGCGGUGAAAUGUGUAGAGAUCGGGAGGAACACCGGUGGCGAAGGCGGGUCUCUGGGCAAUUCCUGACGCUGAGGCGCGAAAGCGUGGGGAGCGAACGGG